rnacentral:rRNA from 1 species
GAUGAACGCUGGCGGCGUGCUUAACACAUGCAAGUCGAACGGUGAAAGAGAGCUUGCUCUCUGGAUCAGUGGCGAACGGGUGAGUAACACGUGAGCAAUCUGCCCCUGACUCUGGGAUAAGCGCUGGAAACGGCGUCUAAUACCGGAUACGAGCUGCGAAGGCAUCUUCAGCAGCUGGAAAGAACUUCGGUCAGGGAUGAGCUCGCGGCCUAUCAGCUAGUUGGUGAGGUAACGGCUCACCAAGGCGUCGACGGGUAGCCGGCCUGAGAGGGUGACCGGCCACACUGGGACUGAGACACGGCCCAGACACCUACGGGUGGCAGCAGUUGGGAAUCUUGCACAAUGGGGGAAACCCUGAUGCAGCGACGCCGCGUGGAGGACGAAGGGUCUAGGCCUGUAAACUCCUUUUACCAGGAAAGACUUAGGACGGUACCUGGUGAAUAAGCCCCGGCUAACUACGUGCCAGCAGCCGCAGUAACAC